CAUUAAGCAACUCUAAAAUUGUUGUUUCAAAACUCAGUAAAAGUUUUCCUCAUUCAACGCAGGGUUUAAUAAAAACGGUUUCUCUUCCAUCUACACAAACUUCUCUUCCAUCUACACAGCGGUUUCUCUUCCAUCUACACAAACUUCUCUUCCAUCUACACAAACCGUCCAUCACUCAUUACAAGCACGAUCAUCUCCUUUUCCCGUUCCUCAUAUCCAUCCCCUCUAUGUUCUUCCAUUCAUUUUGAAAUCUUACAACUUCCAUGUCUCAUACUCUCUUCUUAUAUUUACGAAACACCGAAGAUUAUGUUAUUGUUGAUAUUUUUUGUUGGUGCAGGUUUUGAUAAAUUAAAUCUGACAUCAAAGAUUGGAAGAUUGAAGAACCCAACCGUGCUAUUGAAGAAGAGACUCAAAGGUCUUCAAGCUCAUUUCCUUACUCCUCUUCAAUCAUCUUCCAUUGACGAGAAAAAGAUAACUGUCAAUAUCGGUUUCAACCUUUAUCCAUGCUUGGGAAGGAGAUUCUAUCACAAAACUUACAAAUGAAAAGGAGAUUCCUUAUUUUAAUGCUCCCAUUUAUCUUCAAAAUAUGACUAUAAAAGCCAAACCAAAUUCGAGAAAUAUCAAAUCUAUUCAUGGGAAUGCCUUUGUUGAUGCUGUAGCAACGUUUUCAAAAAAAGGGUGUCAGAUCUCAACAAAAGAAACUCAUGUCUUCAGAAAAUUUUGUCAAUGACGUACUUUUCAAUCAAGAUGAUGGAAUGGAUAGUUGCCACUUCUUACUCUGCUGGUGAUAGGUUUUACAGUGACCCAAAUAUUCAAUUCUUUGUCCCGAGUUUAUUAUGGAGAAGCAUGAAAACUCCGGAGGCCCCACUGAAUAUUCUUGCAGGCUUCAACUGCCAUGUAAUGCACCAUUUGAAAAUCUAGAGGGGUCCUAUCUGCAGUCCAAUGCGCUUGGCACAACAGGCAUGUCAUUAUUUAUUAUGAACUGCCUAGAAUUUGCUCAUCUUUAU